rnacentral:rRNA from 1 species
GACGAACGCUGGCGGCGUGCUUAACACAUGCAAGUCGAACGAAGAGCGAUGGAAGCUUGCUUCUAUCAAUCUUAGUGGCGAACGGGUGAGUAACGCGUAAUCAACCUGCCCUUCAGAGGGGGACAACAGUUGGAAACGACUGCUAAUACCGCAUACGAUCUAAUCUCGGCAUCGAGGAUAGAUGAAAGGUGGCCUCUACAUGUAAGCUAUCACUGAAGGAGGGGGUUGCGUCUGAUUAGCUAGUUGGAGGGGUAACGGCCCACCAAGGCGAUGAUCAGUAGCCGGUCUGAGAGGAUGAACGGCCACAUUGGGACUGAGACACGGCCCAGACUCCUACGGGAGGCAGCAGUGGGGAAUCUUCCGCAAUGGACGAAAGUCUGACGGAGCAACGCCGCGUGAGCGAUGACGGCCUUCGGGUUGUAAAGCUCUGUUAAUCGGGACGAAAGGCCUUCUUGCGAAUAGUGAGAAGGAUUGACGGUACCGGAAUAGAAAGCCACGGCUAACUACGUG